rnacentral:misc_RNA from 1 species
CUUAGUUGAGUUUAGUUUAGUUUACUUUACACUAGGAUUAUAAACACAGGAAUUAUGUCAUACAAUCUUAUUCAUCUUUUUGAUUUUAUCAAGGUAUUUUUUUUUCUUCUGAUGUUUUGUUGUCAUCUUUAAUUUGUUUCUGUACUUCUAUUUGAGUAUUUAUUAUAUUGUUGGCUUUUGAAUAUCAACUCAUCUUUGGCUGGUGGUGGUAGCUACUGAAGGAGAAGGGUAUCCUA